GUGGUCGGUUCGGCAGUGCAUGUACUGAAAAUGGAACGAUACAGAGAAGAUUAGUGCGGCCCCUGAGCAAGGAUGCCACGCAAAUUGUGCAGCGUUCCAUAUUUCC